ACUCCUGCGGGAGGCAGCAGUGGGGAAUAUUGGACAAUGGGCGCAAGCCUGAUCCAGCCAUGCCGCGUGAGUGAUGAAGGCCCUAGGGUUGUAAAGCUCUUUCACCGGUGAAGAUAAUGACGGUAACCGGAGAAGAAGCCCCGGCUAACUUCGUGCCAGCAGCCGCGGUAAUACGAGGGGGGCUAGCGUUGUUCGGAUUUACUGGGCGUAAAGCGCACGUAGGCGGACUAUUAAGUCAGGGGUGAAAUCCCGGGGCUCAACCCCGGAACUGCCUUUGAUACUGGUAGUCUUGAGUUCGAGAGAGGUGAGUGGAAUUCCGAGUGUAGAGGUGAAAUUCGUAGAUAUUCGGAGGAACACCAGUGGCGAAGGCGGCUCACUGGCUCGAUACUGACGCUGAGGUGCGAAAGCGUGGGGAGCAAACAGGAUUAGAAACCCGGGUAGUCCCA
rnacentral:rRNA from 1 species